UUCCGGUUGAUCCUGCCGGAGGCUACCGCUAUUGGAGUUCGAUUAAGCCAUGCGAGUCGAGAGUCCUCGGGACUCGGCGUACCGCUCAGUAACACGUGGGUAACCUGCCCUAUGCUGGGGAAUAACCUCGGGAAACUGAGAAUAAUGCCCCAUAGCCCACUACGCCUGGAACGGUGAGUGGGUCAAAGCCCCGGCGGCAUAGGAUGGGCCUGCGCCGUAUCAGGUUGUAGGGGGUGUAAAGUACCCUCUAGCCAUCAACGCGUACGGGUGUUGGGAGACAUUGCCCGGAGAUGGAUUCUGAGACACGAAUCCAGGUCCUACGGGACGCAGCAGUCGCGAAACCUUGACAAUGCGGGAAACCGUGAUCAGGGGACUCCAAGUGCCAGGAGUAAGAUCCUGUGCUUUUCUUUUCUCUUCAAAGGAUUUGGAAUAAGAGGUGGGUAAGGACGGUGCCAGCCGCCGCGGUAAUACCGGCGCCUCAAGUGGUAGUCGCUUUUAUUGGGCCUAAAACGUCCGUAGCCGGUCUGGUGCAUUCGUGGGUAAAUCAACCCGCUCAACGGGUUGAAUUCUGCGAGCACGGCCAGACUUGGGACCGGGAGAGGUGUGGGGUACUCUCAGGGUAGGGGUAAAAUCCUGUCAUCCUGAGAGGACCACCUGUUGCGAAGGCGCCACACUAGAACGGAUCCGACGGUCAGGGACGAAACCUAGGGGCACGAACCGGAUUAGAUACCCGGGUAGUCCUAGGUGUAAACGCUGUGGACUUGAUGUUGGGGGCGCUCCGAGCGCUUUCAGUGUCGAAGCGAAGGUGAUAAGUCCACUGCCUGGGGAGUACGGUCGCAAGGCUGAAACUUAAAGGAAUUGGCGGGGGAGCACUGCAACCGGAGGAGUGUGCGGUUUAAUUGGAUUCAACGCCGGG
rnacentral:rRNA from 1 species